rnacentral:lncRNA from 1 species
UGCAGAAGUUCCUGUAGGACCAGCUGUUGUGACUGAGAGCAGCAGCUGCCCGACAGCUUUGGGGUUUUGGGGCUGCUGGGGUGCAGCAGCAUCCUCCCACCAGCACGCUGUCCCAGUCGCAACCAGAGGCAAACCGCAGCCACCGAGAUGAAAGGCUGCCUCCCUCUGAUCUCUUCACGAUGAAAUCGCUCCAGUGCCACACUGUACUUUGUGUCAAUACCUAUUUCAUUUUUCAAAAUCGAAAAAGAUAUGAGUACUUUGUUCCCUGAAUUCCUGCUUCUCGGGGUAACCUAGCAACUCCCCAUGCUACGCGGCACGCAGCGGCGCGCCACCCUGCUGCACAUCCAUGCUGACGAGCUCGCCAUGCAGCAUUUCACUUGCAGAUCAUUUACCGAAACUUGUGGCUCUCCUCUCCCUUGAACUUCAGAAAUGACAAGAGGAAUGGUUUUAUUCUCUUUCUUUUGGGCAGCCUUAAUCAUCCAGUGUUCACCGGAGCUGAAUAGCUGAAGCUAUUUGCAUGGCAUUUGUAGUUGACACCACCCUGCGAACUCAUAAUCACUGGAAGCAUGAGAAUGUAUUCAGGCGCACAUUUCUGUGUCAUUAAAAAUUUGCAAGCUAAAAUUGUACCUGUGAACAAACAGCCUUCUCGGAAAAAAACAAAAAACAAAAAACAACAGGGAAAUCUCGCAAGUGUGGGAUGGAAACACCAUGCUAGCACAUGCCUGGGUUGUUCUGCAGCAGGUGAGGCAUCCCCUUCUCUUCUCCCUGCCACCAAGGUGUGCACCCUCCCCAAGCACAGCCUGUCUCCUUCACUUUCCCGCUGCCAAGGGCCCUUCUCCAGAUAUUGUUCCCAAAGCUGGUGGGAAGAAGAACUUAAACAUCACGUAAGGGUUGAAAAUUCCUGCUGGGGUUGGAUGUUUGCCUGUGGUUUAGCUGCUGGCGAGCAAGAGCAAGGGCACAAUGUUCUGGGGAGAAGGAUGAGAAAGUUUUGCAUGCAGCCUCCCGUUUCUACAGGUGCGUAUGCCAAGUCGUGGGAAGAGAAAGACAGAGAGAGAGAGAUUAACUGUUAGGUGCCUAUGAUCACUGUUACUAAACUGCACUUUGAAGUGCUGAUGCCUGUUCUGCAUUUACCUCCUUUAUGUGCUUCAUGCAGAAGCCAGCAGGCGCAGUGUGACGGUGGAGUCUCCUGCAGGGCUGUGUGUGGGCAUAGUGCAGGAAAACCUACCUGUUGGACUGCGGUAAUGGAGAGAAACUUGGGGUGAUUUAUGCAGGUUGGCACCGAUAUUCUGUGGAGUAAUGAAGUUAAAGCCCCAAGCUUGCACCUCCUGUGCUAAUGUGUUGGCUUCAGCGAAACCAAGUUUCCAGCCUUCGUGUUGAGAUCAGCAUAUGCCAUUGCAAGAGCAACAGAACUUAAGAAAAGAUACUAUAAAAGGCAUCAGAAUAAUGCAACUUCUUUGUUGUGCUGUGGCUUCCUUGUACCUGUUUUAUCACAGUAUGUCUUGACCAUCUAUGGCAGAAGCAGUCUCAAAAUACCUGCAAAUAUUCAUAAAUUGAGAGUACGUUUAUUAAAAGUGGUGGUGCAAAUAAAAUGAUCCAUGAAAAACA